rnacentral:rRNA from 2 species
GGGUUGUGAGGUUAAGCGACUAAGCGUACACGGUGGAUGCCCUGGCAGUCAGAGGCGAUGAAGGACGUGCUAAUCUGCGAUAAGCGUCGGUAAGGUGAUAUGAACCGUUAUAACCGGCGAUUUCCGAAUGGGGAAACCCAGUGUGUUUCGACACACUAUCAUUAACUGAAUCCAUAGGUUAAUGAGGCGAACCGGGGGAACUGAAACAUCUAAGUACCCCGAGGAAAAGAAAU